rnacentral:rRNA from 1 species
CAGUCGCCACGGUAAUACGGAGGGAGCUAGCGUUAUUCGGAAUUACUGGGCGUAAAGCGCACGUAGGCGGCUUUGUAAGUUAGAGGUGAAAGCCUGGAGCUCAACUCCAGAAUUGCCUUUAAGACUGCAUCGCUUGAAUCCAGGAGAGGUGAGUGGAAUUCCGAGUGUAGAGGUGAAAUUCGUAGAUAUUCGGAAGAACACCAGUGGCGAAGGCGGCUCACUGGACUGGUAUUGACGCUGAGGUGCGAAAGCGUGGGGAGCAAACAGGAUUAGAUACCCCAGUAGUCCCUGUCUCUUAUAC